rnacentral:lncRNA from 1 species
CAACACACACCUAAAAGCAGUACAAAAGAAGCUAAUGUACAAAUACUAUUUACCCUCAUAUAGCAACGUAGUUCGAGUGGAAGUCUUUCAAUUCGAUUGUUUGAAUUGCAUAGAACUUAAACUGUUAUCACUUUGUUACUUGGCAUCAAAUAAUUAAUAAUAUCAUGAUUGAAAAAUUACAGAGGCCCCAAAUUAUUAAAUUUGCUCAAAUAGAUCCUCAACCUUUCAUUCUUGUCAUUUAAAUCUUUCGCCCAGGUAAUCCCCAACUACGGAACCGACCGUUCUUUAAAUGCCGAGUGCCAUUAUUCAUGGGGAAUAUGAAUAUAACAUAAAUAGUUUUAAUAGAAGCCCGACCCCAACUAUUCGCUUCCCUGAGCCACCCGGCACUCUUUUCCUCGCACGGUCC